GUCCUCCUCCCCUCCCCGCUCUGGGCUGCUGGAGAAGCUCUUCCAGUACAUCGACCUCCACCAGGACGAGUUCGUGCAGACCCUGAAGGAGUGGGUGGCCAUUGAGAGUGACUCUGUGCAGCCGGUGCCUCAGCUCCGACAGGAGCUCUUCCGGAUGAUGGCCUUGGCUGCAGACAAGCUCCGACAGCUGGGAGCUGGAGUGGAUUCCGUAGACUUGGGCUCUCAGCAGAUGCCUGAUGGGCAGAGUCUUCGCAUCCCUCCCACCAUACUGGCUGAGCUGGGAAAUGAUGCCGAGAAGCCCACAGCAUGCUUCUAUGGGCACCUGGACGUGCAGCCAGCCCAGAAAGAGGAUGGCUGGCUCACAGACCCCUACA